AUUCCUCGUCUUUUUAUGAUG
rnacentral:snRNA from 1 species